rnacentral:rRNA from 1 species
UACAGAGGUCCCAAGCGUUGUUCGGAUUCACUGGGCGUAAAGGGUGCGUAGGUGGUUGCGCAAGUCUGAUGUGAAAUCUCGGGGCUCAACCCGGAAAUGGCAUUGGAAACUGCGUGGCUAGAGGGUUGGAGGGGGGACUGGAAUACUUGGUGUAGCAGUGAAAUGCGUAGAUAUCAAGUGGAACACCAGUGGCGAAGGCGAGUCCCUGGACAACACCUGACACUGAGGCACGAAAGCUAGGGGAGCAAACAGG